CUCGUUCUGGACUACAACAGCAUUUUCAAUGCAAUAGCUAAUCUUCUUUCUGUAAAUACUCAAGUCAUUUCUUCAAAACAGAAUAUGCAAAAUAUCAAAUCCAAACAAACAUAUGAUGCUGGUUUGGUUCAGAUUUUUUAUUUUUCCAGUUUU